rnacentral:misc_RNA from 1 species
GAUGAAGAACGCAGCGAAAUGCGAUAAGUAAUGUGAAUUGCAGAAUUCAGUGAAUCAUCGAAUCUUUGAACGCACCUUGCGCCCUUUGGCUAUUCCGAAGGGCAUGCCUGUUUGAGUAUCAUGAACACCUCAACCCUCAUGGUUUGCCAUGACGGGCUUGGACUUUGGGGGUCUUGCUGGUUUGUAGUCAGCUCCCCUUAAACAAAUCAGCUUGCCAGUGUUUGGUGGCAUCACAGGUGUGAUAACUAUCUACGCUUGUGGUUUUACAUCAGAUAACCUUCAGUGAUGGAGGUUCACUGGAGCUCAUAAAGGUGUCUCUCCUCUGUGAGGACAGCUCUUUGAAUGUUUGAUCUCAAAUCAGGCAGGACUACCCGCUGAACUUAAGCAUAUCAAUAAGCGGAGGA